ACGGAGGGAGGAACAAGCUGCAUUAGCCCUGGCCCCAUGGGGUGUCAGGGUGAAACCGCUGCCGAUCCUGCCAAGGGAGUUCCACCCCAGUGCCUUGUGGGGCCGGGGCCAAUGCAGCUUGUUCCUCCCUCUGU